UACGUAGUGUGCGAGCGUUAAUCGGAAUUACUGGGCGUAAAGCGUGCGCAGGCGGCUUUGCAAGACAGAUGUGAAAUCCCCGGGCUCAACCUGGGAACUGCAUUUGUGACUGCAAGGCUAGAGUACGGCAGAGGGGGAUGGAAUUCCGCGUGUAGCAGUGAAAUGCGUAGAUAUGCGGAGGAACACCAAUGGCGAAGGCAAUCCCCUGGGCCUGUACUGACGCUCAUGCACGAAAGCGUGGGGAGCAAACAGG
rnacentral:rRNA from 1 species